UUUUUUUGAACGAAUCGCACAAGAUAGUGCGUGUUUCGUUGAUAUAGCAGAAAAAAAUACAAGGCUACAGGCAGGAAAAAGAAAAGAAAAUGAAACAAAAAAAGGCCGCCCGGUUUGAUUGGGACGUCAACGUGGGUAACCACUCAACUCAAACCACCACACCCAGUCGGUUGGAUUGGGACGUCAGCGCGGCCUCGCCACUCCACUCGCCAAGCAGAACCAGAGCCUUUAUAAUAAUCACAGCAUCAACCAACACUCACCCUCAUGUAGUCACCGCACAGGCCGCGCACGCC
rnacentral:lncRNA from 1 species